GCUGCGAUUGGGCGGAGGCGCUCGAGUGCUGAUUGGGCAGCGCUGCCGGCCCGCGUUGUGCCCUCGCUGGGGCUCAGCUCAGGUCAGUGCCCCGCGGCUGGUGGAGUGUGGCGAGUUGUGCUUCCUGCCGGGCGGGAGCUGCCUUGGGAAGCUGCUCUGUACCCACGGCUGUGCCGAGCCCGGGAGCUUGGACAGCAGGCUGUCGAGUGCCACUGUGUCCCUGAGGUCACCCUUUCUGCUGUUGGGAGAGCACGAGGUGGAUGGAGAGGAUCCCCAGGCAUCUGCAGGCACAAGGGACUCGAACAACUGUGAUUUUCCUACAGCCCUU